GAUUUUUUCCGAAUUAGCCGUGCCAAGAGAUCGAGGAAUCGAACUCGAGAAUAAGCCAUUCCUCUUCGGCCGCCACUCGGGACAGCCAGGGUGUGUAAUUUCGCCGUCGAUCGCCACGCACCUGUGCCACCUCAGGUACACAUUCAAACAGACGUGUGCGGGUGUGAGAGAGUUGGCAAGAAGUGAUUUUUUGUUUUCCUGAUUGAAUGCAGACUUCUUCUUCUUCUUCGGUCCGCUGCCUGAAGGCACACAAAUGAGCAACAGAACGAGACUGCCACCCCCGGGGGCGGCAACCCUAGGCCCACUUGGCUGCUGGAGCGACAACGAACGAGCACAUCAACUUGCGUCCGGCUGACGUAGCCGCCGCUCUUGUUGGUGAGAUUUGGCGCCGUCGCCACGCUUGGUGGCGCCUGCUCGCCCACCCUGAUGUAGGGCCCGACGGGCGACUCGGCCCCCGGGGCGCCUACCCUGCAGUACUGAAGACAAGGGUAGGCGUCGGGCUGCACACCUGGCUGCUGCACAGGGGUGGCGCGGAACUCCCAGUCCUCGUCUUCGUCGGCGUGGCCGAGAUCCGAGGGCGCCUUGUUGCUGCCCUCGUUCAUCUGAAACCAUGUACAAAAUUUCGGUGUCAAUUCAAAGUUGUCUUUUAUUUACUUAUUUCACCCUCAACAAAGAAAUAUAAGAUUUUAACAAUAAUGAUUUUUUUUCUAAUUAAACACAAGUAGAGUUGAAAUAAAUAAACAUUUUGGUAAGGAGAAAUUAUUAAUGUCCAAAUGGAAAAGAAAAUUGUUACAAAAUAUUCAUUUUCAUAUGAAUAAAAAAAAUCUAUUUGC